rnacentral:tRNA from 1 species
GCCCCCGUAGCUCAGGGGAUAGAGUCCCGGUUUCCUAAACUGGUUGCGAUGGUUCGAGUCCAUCCGGGGGCA